CCACGCAGUGCACUCGUUACAAAGUGAUAGCUUGCUGUGUGUGUUGGCAGUCAAUGUUAAUAUUUUAUCUCUGUUAGCUCAUUGCACAUUUUAUUGUGUUGCACAUUUUCUUCUGUUCCACUGAAUGCUGUUUUGAUGAGUAACUAAAUUUGUUUUCAGAAUGUAGUUGGGACAGAGCCCAGCAGGCUACACAACAACACAGCUGGAAAACUACCGUUUCUCAAAACGUAUACAAAUAACUUUUAAAAAAUUGGACUGCUAAAUGGAACUUAACUGGCUAAUUUUAGCUAGCUAACAUUAACGUAGCUCUCUGGCUAUUCCUCCAUGGACAUGAGGACCUGAGCUAUAGGACCAUACCUCAGGACUACCUGGCCUGAUGACUCCUUGCUGUCCCAAGUCUACUUGGCCAUGCUGAUGCUCCAGUUUCAACUGUUCUGCAUGCGGCUAUGGAACCCUGACCUGUUCACCGGACAUGCUACCUGUCCCCCCACCAACGAGGCAGAGGAGGAGGACAAGGAUGACUGGUACGAGCAGCUACAACAAGGAGUAUUCAAGGUCCCACAACACAACGUUAUAACAAUAGGAGAUUUGAAUGCCAAGGUUGGAGCCGAUAACACUGACUGUGAACAGGCUAUGGGGCAACACGGCUGUGGUGCCAUCAACAACAACGGUGAAAUGAAAUUAGAUGAUCUCUGCAGGAUGUCAAGGUCCACCGUGGGGCAGAUGUCAACAGCAAUCACUACCUGGUAAAAGCCAAGGUCAGGCUGAAGCUGCGAACCACACACACACACACACAAUACAGAAAGUAUUUGACCUCAACAAUCUCACAUCUCCUGAAAUAAAGCUCUUCCCAUUGUUAGGUUAUGAACAAACAGAGAAAAAACUGACUAGAAAAAUCUCAAACCAAAUUUAUUCAACCCAUGUGGUGCUUCAGCUACAAACACAACAUACAAAUCACACAAGCGCAUCUUUAUACCUUCCAAUUAGUCCUCUCCUUGCAUGUCGAAGAUAGACAGUCAUUAUCUGUUGUUAGAGGAACCUACUGUGUUUCUGCCUGACUCGUAUUGUCAUGGCCCUGCCUAAGUCUAUGACCCUCAUGGGUGUGGAAAUGUGUAUAUACAGUAUGUGUGAGACAGGACUGGAAUCAGAUGUUCUUCAGUGUGGGCCCCUGUGGCCCCCCUUCCAGCACUAUCCCUCAUGGUCCUGGUUCCUCAGCAGCUAGUCUGCCUUAUCAAUAACUAUACUGUUUCCCUUUGCCUCCCUCCUUAGGAACAUUCAUAUUCUACAAUAAUAUAUUUGAACAGAACUUUCUGCACUUACCCUUUUCUCACUCAGUCACUUUUCAUAUCACUCAGUAUCUUCCCACAAAAGUUCCUCUUUACCCUUCCUUGACCACCAACAUAUACAUUUAUUAUACAUGUAAAGUAAUCACUAAGUUAUUGUAAGGUAACAUCAAUAAGUACAUUUCAAGCUAGAAUCCCAACACCAUUUAGCAAAAAAAUCGCUUCAGUCCAUUAGCCAAUGCAAAGGAAGAAGACCAGGGCACAGUUGAAACCUCAUGGAGUAACAUCAAGAAUGCAUACACAGAAAUGCCAAAGAAAGUUAUUGGCUUUAGAAAGAAGAAGGGCAAGAAGUGGUUAACACAAGCUACAUGGAAGAAAAUAGAUGAGACAGCUUGCUAAACUGCUGAGCGCAGAAUCCAGCACCAAGGUGCUGACUGUUCUCUUUUGCAAGAUAUACCACAAGACUGGAGAAAAGGCCUCAUCAUCAAACUGCCAAAAAAAGGAAACCUCAGCUAAUGUGACAACUGGAGAGGUAUAACCCUCCUCUCCAUCCCCAGAAAAAAACUUCUGAAGAGUACUUCUCAAAAGUAUUGACACUGCUGUCGAUGACAAACUCAGACAAGAACAAGCAAGGUUCCGCAAAUGAAGAGGAUAACCGUUGGGAAGUUCUGUGAACACUUUGAAUGAAGCAUCAUCCUUGAUAAUCCUCUUACAGAGUCAUUUCAAGUUAAGUUUGGUGUCAGACAAGGCUGCAUCCUCUCGCCAAUACUUUUCUUGUUACCAUCAACUGGGUAAUGUGUCAAACAACAUCUGACAAUUCCUGAGGAAUCCAGUGGACAGUCUUCUCCCAGAUGAGCUUUCAGUUGAUUAUGUCCCAUAUGGAGCACAAAAGUCUACAGCCUGAAAACUAAGAACAGGUUCUAUAAUAGCAAUGUGAAGUCGCUGCUUUUAUAUGGCUCUGAGUGAUGGAGGGUAGUCAAAAGUGAGAUGAGCAAGGUUGAUGCCUUUCACAAUGCUUGCCUCCGCAAGAUCUCCAACAUGUUCUAGCCAAACAAGAUCUCCAACGAGAACCUGUAUAGGUGUCACAGAUUCCUAGGAGUGGUGGGUGUAGAGUCAGGCGCAGAGAGCAAUACUUCCAAAUUAAUGCGUAUAUUGCGCUUGGUCUAGCCAACAAUCAGGCAAUGACCAUAAAUCAAGUAUGUCUCCAAAACCCAUGAAAAGAACAUACAAAAUACUCAGGCGAAAAACAACUUCACCACAGACAGUAAGGAUAAUCCCACACAAAAGCAGGGGGGCACUAGAAGUUUAAAUAGACUAUUGACGAACCAAAAUAAGCAACAGGUGAAAACAAUCAAGACAAAAACAGAAAAGAAAAAGGGAUUGGUGGCAGCUAGUAGACCGGUGACCACGACCACAGAGCGCCGCCCGAACAGGGUGAGGAGCCACCUUCGGUGGAAGUCGUGACAAUAGGAGGAAGUGCUGUAAGAACAUUGUCCUGGUGUUACGAAUCCCUUUUGGCCCGACAGUCUAGGGGGAUGGUAAUGAGACCCGUAACAUAUCUCAUGCAAAUUAUUAUUGUGACAAAGUAAAAGUGUGAACGAAAUAACCACGACAACAGAAAUCUACCGUCAAACUCCAGGUUUAUUUAUAAACACACGGCAAUGGGGGGGAGCAGGAAAAGGGGCUGAGCUGGACCCAAGGAAAGAAACAAUAAAUAUACAAAAACACCCCUAAGCUAGACUAGCCUACUUUAACAACAGCUAACUAACUAACCAAAAAUACAGUGGGUGGUCCGCCCAGUUCUAACUAGUGUAUUUAACAAAGUUCACCUACGGGUAGUGUAUGCCCAUGGGCGACUUGUCUUGGUUUCCCCUUUUCCCACCAGCAACAAACAAACACCAUAACCAAAAACAAUACUCACAGGUGAUGAUAAAGUGCUAUGGAGGUGCUCAAACAAAAGAGAGGUUAAGACACAAAGCGAGAGUGAAACACAGAGACCUACAGACAUGGCAUUUACAGAGAGAUUGAGCUCUAAAGCAAACAACUGAUGGGGUUUUUAAACCAAGGGAAAGGAACUGUGAUAGGGUAGGAAACAGGAGGAGGUGUGUCUUCUGAUUGAUGAUUGAUUGUUGACUGAUUGGGGAGUGAUGAUGUUCACCUGUGAGGGGAGAAGGAGAGAAAAGAAACACACACAGGAUACACACACAGGAUACUUGUAUCCGUAACACCUGGAAAUAAAGAUAUGCAGGUUGCAUUGGCUUGGUCAUGUGCUGAAGAAGCCGCCAGAAAGGAUCCCCAAAGUUGGACACCAACUGAAAAGCGCAAGAGGCAGGCCAAAAACAACAUGGCGACAGACAGUGGUGGCUGAGCUGGAAGAGAUGGGUCUUUCAUGGGACAGGAUGCAAACUGUGGCCAAAGACAGACUCCAGUGGUUAACGAUUGUUGCAGCCUUAUGUCCCACCCGGGACAAGAGGACUAAGCACCCCCAGCCUCAUCGACGUAACUUACCUCUGUAAGUGGGGUGGCAGAGUAGCCUAGUGGUUAGAGCGUUGGACUAGUAAUCGGAAGGUUGCAAGUUCAAACCCCCAAGCUGACAAGGUACAAAUCUGUCGUUCUGCCCCUGAACAGGCAGUUGACCCACUGUUCCUAGGCUGUCAUUGAAAAUAAGAAUUUGUUCUUAACUGACUUGCCUAGUUAAAUAAAGGUAAAAUAAAAAUCUACCGUAUUUCUUCAUCUUUCCCUGGGGCAUUGUGUCCACUUUUGAUGACGAUCAGGGAAGGAGAAAAUGAUGGGCACCGCAGUCGGGGUGAGGUGGACAUUUCCCUUGUCAUCAUGCUGAAAACACUCAUAUUCAAAGUGAUGGGCACAGGGACGAGAGUGUUGUGUUGGUUUGCAAUGAAUCUACCUGACAUUUUCUACCUACUGCUGCAGCCUGGGCUUUUCAUGAAAUGGGAACCUAUAUAAAAAAAAGAUUAUGUAUUUAAUAGUAGGCUAGUUCUUAGCCAAGUGUAAACAGUAAACCACGAAUAUACUAGUCAGCCGUUAAACAUAAAAUCAAACACGACCAAAAUAAUGGAAUUGCCAUGGAAACGCUUGGGGGAAAGGGCCCUGGUGGCAAGAAACCGAGUUUCCUCAUUGCCCCCCAGAAAUAUUAGCCUACAUUUAGGCUGUUGUUUAUAUGUAACCGACCACCUUGAUUUGGUCAUAUGUAGCAAAAUAUAAAUAUAUAAAUAUUAUAAUUGUAAUAUUAUAAAUACAAGUUCAAUCUGUACUCCAAUGCACAUCUGUUGUGCAUUAUAAAAACAGGAAGAAAGAGGUGGCGAGGGAGGUGUAAAAGACAAAGGGAAAGAGGUAAGAAGAGCAGGGAAGGCAGCUUAUGAUUAAUGAAUCACAGUGAGACCUAAUAUUAUCUCAGUUCAACACAAUUACAUAAUAGUGUCUCUAGUGGUGUCUCCUAACCAGUCCUGGGCUCCCAGUCGGCCCGAAGGUUAUCUUAAGAGCGGGUGAGGUGGCAAUGACGGGACUGGGGGUUGGUAUCCUCUCUCACAUCAAAACAUACCUGCAGACGAGAGACAGAAUACAAAUUUGAAAAAAGGCUUAAACAUGCUAACACUGUCAGUCAUCACAAUCAUCAGGUGAAAUGCAAAACUGAGGCAAGAAAAUGGCCUUGCCGAACCCCCCCCCUUCUAAUUUCCUUAAUUUUGUGGCUAGUCAAAUACUGUGUUAUAUUAAACAGGAGGGAGUAAAAUGUAGGCAAGCAAUAAACAUUUCAGAACAACUACUAGUCGAAUAAGAGAUGGGAGAGAUGACGAAUUUUGGCAAAGAGAUUUAUUUAUUUACUAAUAUACUUGAAACAAAUAGCCAAACCGAAAACUGCAGACAUUAUAAGUGCGAUCACAUAGAUACUGUAUAAAAAAAUCAAAUGAAACGCAGCCUAAUGUGAUCAGAAAUCCCAACUAGCAAGCAAGUCGCAGCAAUGAAGAAUUGAUUGCGAGCACGUUCACGCUGAGGGAGGGAGAAUUCUGACAGGGGGGAGCGUUUCGACACAACACCGUUCCUCAAGUUAUAACGUGUUAGUUGCUUACUGGACCCUGGCAAUCUGUGUGAAAUGUUAGUGGUUAGUUCGUUAGCUAGUUAACGAACCACUAUCUAUUAACUAAUGUUUUCCCUCUGCAGUAUGUGGUUAAUUUUCAGAAUGAGACAAUUAGGUGAAAAUGAGGCGUUGCUUGUUAAACAAGUGGAUUCAGGGAUCAAGUGUAGCUGGAGCCUGGCUUAAUCUGGAUGCUACUAUAGAGGUGAAAGGAACACCACACACACUUUCCCUCUUUCUCACUUUUGCUGACACAUUGUAGAACAGAUGUCCACAGGAAGAAAGUGUACAAUGUAAUAAUGUGCAGUGUAGCCCAAAGAUAUUGUUUUGUUGUGUUGAACUUGACAGUAACACGUGUGAGUGAGGGUACUUUUUUAAAACUUAGUGAACAUUAUUUUUGCACACAUGUUCUACUUUAAGUGCAAAGUUUGUGUGUGUGGUCACAAGUGUUACAUUAUAAAGGCUGUCAUGACUAACUGCAA
ensembl:lncRNA